AGAGUUUGAUCAUGGCUCAGAUUGAACGCUGGCGGAAUGCUUUACACAUGCAAGUCGAGCGGCAGCGCGGGGCAACCUGGCGGCGAGCGGCGAACGGGUGAGUAACAUAUCGGAACGUAUCCAUAAGUGGGGGACAACCUAGCGAAAGUUAGGCUAAUACCGCAUACGCAGGGAACUGGAAAGUGGGGGACCGCAAGCCUCACGCUUUUGGAGCGGCCGAUAUCAGAUUAGCUUGUUGGUGAGGUAAAGGCUCACCAAGGCGACGAUCUGUAGCUGGUCUGAGAGGAUGAUCAGCCACACUGGGACUGAGACACGGCCCAGACUCCUACGGGAGGCAGCAGUGGGGAAUUUUGGACAAUGGGGGCAACCCUGAUCCAGCCAUUCCGCGUGAGUGAAGAAGGCCUUCGGGUUGUAAAGCUCUUUUGUUCGGGACGAAACGGUUUCACCUAAUACGUGAGACUACUGACGGUACCGGAAGAAUAAGCACCGGCUAACUACGUGCCAGCAGCCGCGGUAAUACGUAGGGUGCGAGCGUUAAUCGGAAUUACUGGGCGUAAAGCGUGCGCAGGCGGUUUUGUAAGCCAGAUGUGAAAUCCCCGGGCUCAACCUGGGAAUGGCAUUUGGGACUGCAAGGCUGGAGUAUGGCAGAGGAGACUAGAAUUCCUGGUAGCAGUGAAAUGCGUAGAUAUCAGGAGGAAUACCGACGGCGAAGGCAGGUCUCUGGGCCAAUACUGACGCUCAUGCACGAAAGCGUGGGGAGCAAACAGGAUUAGAUACCCUAGUAGUCC
rnacentral:rRNA from 1 species